GCAGCACAUGACAAGGUCAAGGGUGAAAACAAGACAAGAGAAAUGUCUCGUCACAUGUCGUCACCUGAUUGUGAAGGACGAGUGAGAGAACACGGGGUGCUGUUACAGUGUGUGAUCUGUAGUUGUAUUCUUUAGAGCUGGAUCAAAUCAGCCUUAUGGAGGGAAGGGGCUGAGGGAGGUCAUGUGGUGUUGGUAUGCAGCGGAAAGCCAAGUGUCGGCCAGCGCUGGAGCUGUGGCAUGCUUUGCUGUGACAUCACUGGCCUGCUGACUGCAUUGCUGCUGAAGAGGCUCGCCUAUGUUUGGACGUGCUGCCGACAAGAGCUGCCUCUGAAACCGAUUUCAAAGCCUCAACCGACCAAGUGAUCAGACAACAGGCCAACCAUUAGCAUUGCCAUGUGCUCUCACCAGGAGGGAAUGCUGAAGCUUCUGGUCAACUCCUCCUGUGACUGAAAAACAACAGGAUUGUGUCAUAAAAAUGAACCCUGUGGCAGAUUCAUGUGGCCCCCGGUGCUUUUUCCCCUUUUGACCAACAGAAGCAGGUGUUUAUGAAUCAGGAUUUUACUGGCAACAGACUAGCAUCUACAAAUGCACUUGAGGUUCCACAGCUGAACUCUGCAUACAUACAUAACACCAUGACGAGGACAAUUGUUGGCCUGGAUCUGUAGAACUGUUUGCUUGGAGACUGAUCACUUUGCCCCACAUUCUGCCUCCAAAGGAGAAAAAAGAAAAACACAUUACACACUACCAAGCAAACAAACAAACCAACAAGGACAAAGAGCCUCGGUCAGAAUGAAGUGUUCCCAAUAUGGAGCACACAGAUCUUUUACAGCCUGUGUUGAAAGUUAUAUAUUCUUGACUAACAAUGUGUGGCACAUUUUUUUGCUUGCCCUGUGAUCAUGGAAAUGAAAAGUAUGUUAUUUCUGAAUAUUUGCAAUUGCUAAUAUAGUAACACAAAAAUAAACUGUAUCAGUUACUGUGAUCUAAAGAAAGGACCUAGUCAGAUAGAGAAGCAUCUGUUUCUUUAUUGUCCAUUUGUAAAGGCAUAGCCUGUAAUCUGUUUGUUCAAAAGCCCUAAUGAGCCUGAUCACCGUGCAUUAUUCUCUUGAAGCUGUGUCAUUUUAGCAGUCAGAUGGACCUUGAUGCAUAAAUGUGAAGUAUGACUGUUUCUCCAAGAACAUUUAUUGUGAACAAGGCAGGAUUUUUAGGUAAAAGAACAUUAGUUCAGAAUCAGGAUCAAAGGCAUACAUUGAAAAUGUGUACAUACAGUGUGCACAGUAUGUACAGGGGUCAUGGUUUGGCGAUCGCUAAGAUAAAAACAACAGCUCAUUCUGUGAACAGCUGAUGAAGAUAUUCAUCAGCAGGGGAUUUUUCUGCACAUGUUGCAAGCAGGAGAGUCAGCAGCAGAAGCACUGGGAUUUUUCUCAGGUCUAAGUCUGUAAGGCUCUUUUUCUAGAAGGUUUCUGAUGUAGUAGCUGAUCCCAAAAUCUCUAGAAUCAAUGCUGGGUGAUUAUUGUUUAUUGUAAAUGAUGACUACAUCAGACUUAAAAACAAAUAAGCACUUAACACAUGCUCAUGUAAACUCUACUUACGCCCCUUCUUUAUUUUACACCCCUUUCCCCCCCCCAGUUGAUGUGACAAUGCUCACACCAGGGAAGUUGUUACGUGCAACAAUGGAGCAGCGUUGCCCUGUGCAGAUGCCAUGUGACAGGUCAGAUUUCCUUUCUGUGCCUCCAUACGCGAGCAUGCACAGACAGAAGCUGAGCACCCUGCCAAACAAACAGCAUGAUGUGUCCCCGUGUUCCCAUAAAGUUACACAACCCCGGAUCACACAGACGGUGCUCUGCAAACAGGCAACAGGGAAACGUGUGUCCCGUAGUAACGCUGUGGCCAUGGGAGCUACGGCACUGCUGCAUUUUAUCCUAGCAGUUAGUUAAUUGCAUUCACCUGCCAUUCCAGGUGUAAAUCAGUUGGAGAUUCACAGCAGCCUUCCUCUAACACUCACAAAGCAGGGAUUAUGGCAUUUCAAUGUGACAAUGUGAAGGAAGGCAUACAUUACGUUAUGCAAGGGUAAAUGUACUCUUACAUGACAUGGAAGCAUGUGGAUGCAUGUGCGCAUCUUUCAGGAAAGGUGCUUCUACAUUUAUACUUUGUCUCCACAGACUCACAUAAAAAGCCACCGCAUAACCACAUUCAAGUGCCACACUGGUUUCUGAGCACAUCAUCUGACUUGUGAUUUUAUUUCUUCAAAUUGCAGUCACAUGUGCAGCAUCUCUUCUCCAUCCUGACUGG